rnacentral:lncRNA from 1 species
CAGUCUCAGUUACUCCUGCUGAGCCCAGCUGCCUAGAGUUCUGUCGUUCCCUGGCCUUGCUGGAACAAUCACACCUUCUGGUCUGCUAUCACAUGCCCAGGAUCCUGCUUAAAACGCACUUCAGAAUCCAGUAUUUCCCAACUGAACCACCCAGGGGUAUAAUAUACAGUAUUGUGCCUGGAUCACAGAAGGAGACCAAAAAAUUUAUGUUGAAAUUAAUGAACUAAAUAAAGGAAAUCCAGGAGUGGCCUGGCUCAAGUUCUGCUGUUGGAAACUCUCUGAGGAGCUCAUGCAGAAAAAGCUUUUUUUCCUGAUUUAUGAGAUCCCAAAUGCCACCACGAGCAUUCGAUGAUUAAACUGGGACGUUUGUUUGAACUGCCUCAACAGGGUUAUAUACUACCCUGAGGGCCUCAGGUGGACAUUGCACGCCAUUGCCAUCAUCGCUUGGACGUCACCGGCAGGAAAUAUCAGAAACCUCCCAAGACAGUCUGUACUCCUGAGCUUUCCAGAGAGGCCCUGGCAGACAUGAGAAGUCAGCUUUGUCUGGACUGGUACCUGGACCUGGAAGUCUUUAAAGCCCAGAGCUCCGCCAUGGUGGAAAGGGGCUGGGUGAGUGCCCUGAAGUAGCAUUAGCAGGAGCAGAGUAUCAACGCCUGUCAGAUGCCCUGUGUCCAAGGCUACUGUGACUGCUACCUCCUCAUUGAUCAGAUUAGCCAGGCACUCACCGGUGUUGAGUUGCAAACGUCUGGAUUUUGCUUCCCCUGGCAGUAGCUCCUGGGAUAAGAGAGAAAACAGCUUAUAAAUUCUUUAAUGAUUCUUGGAGCCAAGGGCAGCUUACAGACUGGAUUUUCAAGCAAUGUUAUUUAAAAGGUUCCAGGGGACAUGAAGAUCAGUAUGUGUCAUUGCAGAUAUCUGAACAUCAGCUAUGAAAGGUCCUCAGGGGAUGCCUGAGGAUGUUUGAAGACAAACGAAGAGUAAUACCCUCUGAAGCUGUUCAAGGAGAAGCUGGGUAUUCACUCAGAAGGGAUGUUUCAGGGAAGAUGCAAGCUCUAGUUGGAAGGAUGGAUGAGAUGACUUAAUUUCCCUUCUAGUCAUAACAUUCUAUGAUUUUAUUUAGUUUAUAUCUGUUUGAAUAUCUGGAAACUUGGUGCAUUGCCUUUUUAAUGAAGGUGGAGAUAGAUGUUGGGUAAAGCAUUCAUUUUGUUACCCAUAUUCCCCAGCAGAAAUUGUUUUAAGAUCGGGGCUUUCUUUUAUGGGUAUGGUGCCCAUUAUCCUAUAUUUUAUGGGACAGUUCUGUUUUCAAACAUCUUCACUUUAUGUUCUGUGAGUCCACUUCUGCUUGACACAUGACCUGUUCUGAUUUGAGAUUUAAGGAAUAUUGACAAUCUACUGACAGAGCAAGGAGGUGUCAGUGAUGAAAAGGACAAGUCGUGUGUAGAGGCCACGCAGGAGAGAUUAGAUUUCCUAACAUCUUGGAUAACUUUUAGUUCCCUUGGCUUUCAAAUAUUUCAGACCAAAGGACCCUUCUUCCUUCAAUGCUUUCUUCUUUAUAACAAAAUGUUCUAGGCCAGCCCUGGUGGCCUAGUGGUUAAGUUCAGCAUGUUCCGCUUCAGUGGCCUAAGUUUGGUUCCCAGACAUGGACCUAUACCAAUGUCUGUCAGUGCCCAUGCUGUGGUGGCGGCUUACAUACAAAAAGAGGAAGAUUGGCAGCAAAUGUUAGCUCAGGGCUAAUCUUCCUCAGCAAAAAAAAAAAAAAGUUCCACACCAAACCGUCUACGUGCUGAUCUUGGGUUUAACCGCUAGUCACCAUUACUUGGGAGUGAUUUUCUCAAGUCUCAUACACACCUACUGCGACAAAUUCUCAGAAUGACUUCUGUGGCUGCCAACCUCACCCUAUGCCUAAGGAAAUCUUUGAUUUCCCCGCUUCCCUUUCUUUCCUUUUUGUCACCUAAAACCUGGAUUUCUCAAUCUAACCUCUGAAAUGGCACCUAAUAGCCGAACUCCUGAAAAGGAAGACUUGCCUUUCUCCCUAACCACUCAAUAAACAGCUACCCUUCUCAGGUGAGGUGAACUGACAUAGAGAGUAAAAUAUUGAGGCUCCUGGGUGAGAAGACUGAGUCAGAUGUCACUGAAGAAAACCCAUUUUUUUAAAAAAGUAUUUAAUACACAUUUACUAGAACAUAAUUCCAGUAAGUUUAGGGAUCUUUGUCUACUUUAUGUGCUGAUAUAUCCUAGGCACCUUAGACAGUUGAUGUAUGUUGUACAGCUCGGCCAGGCUAUGUCUCUAGGCAACACAGUCUUACAUAGGAGGCAAAUGACAAGUGGCAGUCUUAUAUAAGAGUCUUAUACAGCUAGGGGCAGGACUUAGGACCUAGUUCAUAAGAUUUUAUAGAGAUAAUUUUAAAAUGCAUUUGAAACAGAGAAGACGUGGUCGAUUCUGUCUUGUGAGGGCUGUGGAAGCUUCAGAGAGUAGGUGAAAUUGGCACUGGAUGUUUAAGGAUGGGCCCUUUUUCAGGGAGUCGAGACAUUAUAGGCAGUGGGACCAACAUGAACAGAAACAGAGGCAUGUGGCUACAUGUUGUGUUUCAAAAUGGGCUCCUUACAAUAUGGGUUUCCCCAGUCAUCCUUUACACCAUUUGUCUAUGACUUUCUAUUUUUUUCAUCUUUCUAUCCAUCCAUCCGUCCAUCCAUCCAUUCACACUAAAGUCAACAGGCAUUUCUUGAGCAUCAGCCAGGUGUUACAAACAAUUCUCCCCCCUUGAGAAUACAACAGUGAGUGGGUGAAACAAAGUCCUUGCCCUCGGGAGGCUUACAUUCUAGUGAGGGAGGCAGACAACUAAUGAGUAAAUAUGACAUGGGAUGAUAAAACUUAAAAAAAAUUAAAUAGGGUAAGGAGAUAUAGGGUAAUUGGUGGGAUAUUUUAAUCAAGGUGGUCAGGAAAGGGCUGUAUGUGGUGAAGGCAUUUUAGCAGAAACCUGAAUGAAGUGAGAGAGUGAGCUUUGGAUAUAAUUCUGUAGUUUUUCUUUCAACGCUUGUAGACGUAGUUCUGUUAGCCUUGGAGAAGCAUGAAAAGAGUGGGGAUCCCCCCUGGUGACUGAUGGAGUCAUUUCUAGGAGAGAGACACCUGAAGCCUGCCGGCCCAAAUUGCAAACAAAUUACUCAUGGGACUUUGUUAAUGGAAUUGCUCUAUCUAGGGUCCAGGGGCUCCAGGGUCCAGGGCUUGGUGGUAGAACUGAGUCUGCAUUGAAGAGGAGGUACACAGACACCAUGGGACAGGUGGAAGGACCCUGCAUCUUUGGGUCCCAAAGGAAAAACUCAUUUUGUAGGAAAGGCUGCUGCUGAAGCUGUUGGAGAAUAUUUAUCAUUUGCUGAACGACGAAUCCAAAUCAGAAGUGGAUUGUGCAUGGUCUUUGGGGACAGAGUCACAGAGCUUUCUAUAAACUUACUUUGGGCGGAGUGGUCGUGAAUGUCAGCUUGCCUCAGCCUGAUCAGUAAUAAGAGUAGAAAAGUCUUUGAUGGUUGUCCUGCAGGUAUUUAUAGAUAUUUCUUGCUCCGUUUUAUGUUUCUUCUUGUUGCAGAUGAAGUAUGUUGUGAAGGGAGCCCUGUUAAACACAGUCAGUGCGUCGACUGGUCUAGAAGCCUGUCACAUAUUAAGUGUUUUAUAGCUGAACUUUAUUACACUCAAACUUCACAGAGACUUUUAUGAACCUUAUUGCAUUCUGAUAUGAAAUGAGCCCAGAAAAGUAUUUCUGCUUUUAUGGGAAUGGAACUUUUCAUUGUAUGGAACUUUCAAAAAGCUGUUGAACGCCAGAGUUCAAAGUGAUUUUGCAAAUGUUAAUUUCUCGAGGGAUCUUUGGGACCUUAAAAAAACUGCUGAUGACUUCUACAUCUUGUGUCUAACUUUCCUUUUUUUUCCUUUGGAAAACAUGUACAGUUGCCUCAGUAAAAGGAAUGUGUGGAGUUUGUGGUUUAUGCUGUAUUCAUGCCAUGGUAAGAAAAGAGACCCUGUUUAUUGCUAGAGGAGACAUAUAAGGAAAAUAAAAGGAGGAAAAUAUCAUUUAAUAGAUAAACAGUCAUGCCCAGCUUGACAUUUUUCUAACCCCUUCAAGGACACACAUUCCUGGAGUUCUGUGAGUCAGUCUUUAGAAUAUAUUUGGAAGAUUAACUAUUAACUUGCCUUAGUAAGGGAAUUUUCUACAAUGCCAACCAAUGGGAAAAUGGGCCUUUUUAAGUCUCAUUCACUCAUAAUGAGUUCAUUGAAUAUUUGCCAAAUUCUUGCUUUGUAUCAGCCAUUGUUCUAGGAAUAGGUGAUAAUCAGAGGAAAGAUAUAGUUCUCAAGACAUUUACGUUUCAGUCCCAGACGAUUAAGCAAAGACAUAUGCAUAAAUUGCUACGUGAUUACAGAUCACAUGUAACUCAGGGUGUAUUGUACAUACAGGAUGUUCACACAAGGGGACAUCAGCAAAGACUUCUGGGAGGCAGCAACUCCUGAACUGGGUCUUUAGGGCUGAGUAAGAGUGAGGUGGAGAAAUGUUAAGAUUGUUAUUCUCUCACAUCACUAGAGUCAGGAGGUACACACAUUCUGAGAUCAAGAAGGAGGAAGCUGAAAGAACUGCUUAGAAUAGUGGAACUCAGAAUGAGGCCUACCUUUCAGGGGUAUGAGCUGUGCUAAAGUCGGCUGUUAAGUACAUAAUAAUCCUAUUAUCUCACUGUGCUUAUUUUUUGUUGUCAUAAUAGUCUUAACAUUUGCAUGAUGCUUAUGGUUUGUACAUUGUUUUCAUAUGUAUUAAACAAGUUAAUCUUCCCAGCAAUCUGGUGAGAUAGGUAUUAUUGUUACCUUACAGAUGAAGAAAUGAAUCAAAGAGACAUCAAGUGACCUACCCAAGGUCAGGUAGCCAGAGUGUGGCUUCACUGGGCCCUGAAAAAAGCCCUUUUGAUUCAUAUUCUAAACUUACCUAUUGUAUCAUAG